AGCUCCAAUAGCGUAUAUUAAAGUUGUUGCAGUUAAAAAGCUCGUAGUUGAAUUUGUGGCUGUCGCGUGCGACCCGGCACCUAGUGCCGGUGUUUGUAUGCGUCGCCAUCUUUGGGUGGAACCUGUGUGGCAUUAGGUUGUCGUGCAGGGGAUGCCCAUCGUUUACUGUGAAAAAAUUAGAGUGUUCAAAGCAGGCUUAUGCCGUUGAAUAUGUUAGCAUGGAAUAAUAAGAUAGGACCUUGGUACUAUUUUGUUGGUUUGCGCACCAAGGUAAUGAUUAAUAGGGACAGUUGGGGGUAUUCGUAUUCCAUUGUCAGAGGUGAAAUUCUUGGAUUUUUGGAAGACGAACUAAUGCGAAAGCAUUUACCAAGGAUGUUUUCA
rnacentral:rRNA from 1 species